GUACACGCUGUGACUAGCAUAUCAAUAAGCGGAGGAAAAGAAACUAACAAGGAUUCCCCUAGUAACGGCGAGUGAAGCGGGAAGAGCUCAAAUUUGAAAUCUUAAAGGGUUUCCCUUUACGAAUUGUAGUUUAAAGAAGUGUUUUUCUGUUGAGGUUUUGGUAAGAGUUCUUUGGAAUAGGACAUCAUAGAGGGUGAGAAUCCCGUAUUUGACCUUUACUUUCAACUUUGUGAUACACUUUCAAAGAGUCGGAUUGUUUGGGAAUGCAAGUCCAAAAUGGGUGGUAAAUUUCAUCUAAAGCUAAAUAUUGGCGAGAGACCGAUAGCGAACAAGUACCGUGAGGGAAAGAUGAAAAGAACUUUGAAAAGAGAGUUAAACAGUACGUGAAAUUGUCAAAAGGGAAGCGUUUGACACCAGUGUUGUUUUUCUGAAAAUCAAUUAAAGAACUGUUUAUGCUAAGUUGUUUAGACUUUAUCAGCUAACUGUUUAGUUUUGAGCUUUUCUUUAGUGCACUUUUCAGUUAACAAGUCAACAUCAAUUCCUUUUGCUGUAAAAAAGCUUGAGGAAGGUGGCUUGAGAUUCGUCUUAAGUGUUUAUAGCCUCUUGCCUAUGCAGUCGGAGAGAUUGAGGUCUGCAGCGUAGAUCCUUCGGGGCUAAAUGCAUUUGUGCUAAGUUAUAGCAUUUUAUAGACAACUUGUUGACUAUGAUUUGUCUUGUAGCUUACUCGCUUAUGUUAUUUUACCUACGCUUAGGAUGUUGAUAUGCAUGACUGAUAU
rnacentral:rRNA from 1 species